rnacentral:misc_RNA from 1 species
AAGUCGUAACAAGGUUUCCGUAGGUGAACCUGCGGAAGGAUCAUUACUGAAAGAGGGGGGCUUCGCGCUCCCGGGGUCUCGGCCCCUCUCUCCAUGUCAUUACUACUCUGUGCUUGGUGCUGGCUCGCCGCUGCGUUGUGGUCGUCAGUGGCCCAUAAAUUCGUCUAUGCCGGUAUUAUCAGAUCGAAACCACAAUAGCAAAAAA